CAUGUACGCUGCUUGAAUUAGAUUGCUCACUGAAUGUAAUGAGGAUUCAUGGCGGGUCUACGAUGAGCGUGCCGGCACAACUCGAGGCCUGGACCACUCAACGUGAUAGAGCCCGAGGUAUCCUUCAGGCCUUUGGUACCCGGACAGAGUAUGAGGAUUCCUACGGAUCAUCGCAAGCGUCGACGUCGGUUCCUUGUGGUCCCGCAUGGCAGCAGCCUCCCUUAUACCACCGACAGGCAGAAGGGUACGGGUACCCCGGUUCUCAGCCCUAUGGAGGGCCAGGUGCCUCGCAAGGGGCUCCAUUUCAUGGAACCCAGUUUACCUCUAUGCCACAUGCUGGAGGGACUUUAGGAUCACAACA